CUGCGCCACAAGUGGCAAUCGUUAUUAUUGGGCCUAAAGCGUCCGUAGCCGGUUCGGCAAAUCUCUUGUGAAAUCGUCAAGCUCAACUUGACGGCGUGCUUGAGACACUACCGAACUCGAGACCGGGAGGAGUCAGAGGUAUUCCAGGGGGAGCGGUAAAAUGUGAUAAUCCCUGGAGGAUCACCUAUGGCGAAGGCAUCUGACCAGAACGGAUCUGACGGUGAGGGACGAAGGCUAGGGGAGCAAACCGGAUUAGAUACCCGAGUAGUCC
rnacentral:rRNA from 1 species